GAUGCCAAAACACUGCUGCUGCCGCUGCAGUGUGAAUUUCAGCCUGCCUGGACUGUUUUCAACACGGUAAAGAAACGGCUUGUAGCCAUGCGCCAAGUCGCCUGUUGUUUAUCCGCAAUUUAAGGCCAUUUUUUUCUUAGCGUGAGACUUCCUUAUGCGGUGAAUGUCCGCGUUGUAAUUCUUCAUGGUUUGGAGUUUAGUCUGUGUUAGAGAGCAAAAUAGGCUGUGGUUUGAGGUAAGGAGCUGGUUGGUCUAAAGGCAGAAAACUUCAAAGAUCGUAACUGGUGUCAUUUCUGUAUCGCGCACGGAUGGUAUGGUCCAAAGCAGGAUUAUCAUUCUGGUACCUGCCGAUGACCUUUCGGAGUUGUCACCAAAUCAUCUACCCUUAAAAGUGAUGCGAGUGUUGUGCUGCCGUGCUGAUGGAUAGUGAAGAAGAAGAACUGUGAUGGUGCUUCUGCAGAGGUGUGAUACAGUCACUCCGCCAGAGAAGAAUAUACAAGGCAGCCAUGAACGGACAUACAAGAAGUCUGGAGAAGUAUACCUGGUAACAAAUGAAGAAAAGGACUGAAAUGACGAGCUGCUUAAAGGAAAAACAAAACUGAGUGUUUGCACUUGAUAUAAUAUUUGCUAAUGUUUCUUACAAAAAAAACAUGUUCUACGACUAAAAUUAUGAAUAUG
rnacentral:lncRNA from 1 species